rnacentral:rRNA from 1 species
AAAAAAGGUAAGCUACUAAGAGCGAAUGGUGGAUGCCUUGACUGGUAAAGGCGAUGAAGGACGUACUAGACUGCGAUAAGCUACGGGGAGCUGUCAAGAAGUUUUGAUCCGUAGAUUUCCGAAUGGGGCAACCCAAUGUAUAGAGAUAUACAUUACCUAUAUAGGAGCGAACGAGGGGAAUUGAAACAUCUUAGUACCCUCAGGAAAAGAAAUCAAUAGAGAUUGCGUCAGUAGCGGCGAGCGAAAGCGCAAGAGGGCAAACCCAGUGCUUGCACUGGGGGUUGUAGGACUGCAAUGUGCAAGAGGUAAGUUUAGCAGAACAUUCUGGAAAGUAUAACCAUAGAGGGUGAUAGUCCCGUAUGCGAAAAACAAACCUUAGCUAGCAGUAUCCUGAGUAGGGCGGGACACGAGGAAUCCUGUCUGAAUCCGGGUCGACCACGAUCCAACCCUAAAUACUAAUACCAGAUCGAUAGUGCACAAGUACCGUGAGGGAAAGGUGAAAAGAACUGAGGUGAUCAGAGUGAAAUAGAACCUGAAACCAUUUGCUUACAAUCAUUCAGAGCCCUAUGUAGCAAUACAGGGUGAUGGACUGCCUUUUGCAUAAUGAGCCUGCGAGUUGUGGUGUCUGGCAAGGUUAAGCAAACGCGAAGCCGUAGCGAAAGCGAGUCUGAAUAGGGCGCUUAGUCAGAUGCUGCAGACCCGAAACGAAGUGAUCUAUCCAUGAGCAAGUUGAAGCUAGUGUAAGAACUAGUGGAGGACUGAACCCAUAGGCGUUGAAAAGCCCCGGGAUGACUUGUGGAUAGGGGUGAAAGGCCAAUCAAACUUCGUGAUAGCUGGUUCUCUCCGAAAUAUAUUUAGGUAUAGCGUUGUGUCGUAAUAUAAGGGGGUAGAGCACUGAAUGGGCUAGGGCAUACACCAAUGUACCAAACCCUAUCAAACUCCGAAUACCUUAUAUGUAAUCACAGCAGUCAGGCGGCGAGUGAUAAAAUCCGUCGUCAAGAGGGAAACAACCCAGACUACCAGCUAAGGUCCCUAAAUCUUACUUAAGUGGAAAACGAUGUGAAGUUACUUAAACAACCAGGAGGUUGGCUUAGAAGCAGCCAUCCUUUAAAGAAAGCGUAAUAGCUCACUGGUCUAGUGAUUUUGCGCGGAAAAUAUAACGGGGCUAAAGUAAGUACCGAAGCUGUAGACUUGCACACAACUUAGAUUAUUUAAGUUUAGAAUAUGAGAAACUAAGUUAUAUGUUUAGUUAUAUUUUUACUGAUUUUUAUAGAGUAAAGAUAGAAAUAAAACUUAGUAAAAUCAGUAAAAAUAUUCUUAGACUAAAGUUAAGUAGUUUAAGUUGUGUGCAAGUGGUAGGAGAGCGUUCUAUUUGCGUCGAAGGUAUACCGGUAAGGAGUGCUGGAGCGAAUAGAAGUGAGCAUGCAGGCAUGAGUAGCGAUAAUUAAUGUGAGAAUCAUUAACGCCGUAAACCCAAGGUUUCCUACGCGAUGCUCGUCAUCGUAGGGUUAGUCGGGUCCUAAGUCGAGUCCGAAAGGGGUAGACGAUGGCAAAUUGGUUAAUAUUCCAAUACCAACAUUAGUGUGCGAUGGAAGGACGCUUAGGGCUAAGGGGGCUAGCGGAUGGAAGUGCUAGUCUAAGGUCGUAGGAGGUUAUACAGGCAAAUCCGUAUAACAAUACUCCGAGAACUGAAAGGCUUUUUGAAGUCUUCGGAUGGAUAGAAGAACCCCUGAUGCCGUCGAGCCAAGAAAAGUUUCUAAGUUUAGCUAAUGUUGCCCGUACCGUAAACCGACACAGGUGGGUGGGAUGAGUAUUCUAAGGCGCGUGGAAGAACUCUCUUUAAGGAACUCUGCAAAAUAGCACCGUAUCUUCGGUAUAAGGUGUGGUUAGCUUUGUAUUAGGAUUUACUCCGAAAGCAAGGAAACUUACAACAAAGAGUCCCUCCCGACUGUUUACCAAAAACACAGCACUCUGCUAACUCGUAAGAGGAUGUAUAGGGUGUGACGCCUGCCCGGUGCUCGAAGGUUAAUUGAUGGGGUUAGCAUUAGCGAAGCUCUUGAUCGAAGCCCGAGUAAACGGCGGCCGUAACUAUAACGGUCCUAAGGUAGCGAAAUUCCUUGUCGGUUAAAUACCGACCUGCAUGAAUGGCGUAACGAGAUGGGAGCUGUCUCAAAGAGGGAUCCAGUGAAAUUGUAGUGGAGGUGAAAAUUCCUCCUACCCGCGGCAAGACGGAAAGACCCCGUGGACCUUUACUACAGCUUGACACUGCUACUUGGAUAAGAAUGUGCAGGAUAGGUGGGAGGCUUUGAGUAUAUGACGCCAGUUGUAUAUGAGCCAUUGUUGAGAUACCACUCUUUCUUAUUUGGGUAGCUAACCAGCUUGAGUUAUCCUCAAGUGGGACAAUGUCUGGUGGGUAGUUUGACUGGGGCGGUCGCCUCCCAAAUAAUAACGGAGGCUUACAAAGGUUGGCUCAGAACGGUUGGAAAUCGUUCGUAGAGUAUAAAGGUAUAAGCCAGCUUAACUGCAAGACAUACAAGUCAAGCAGAGACGAAAGUCGGUCUUAGUGAUCCGGUGGUUCUGUGUGGAAGGGCCAUCGCUCAAAGGAUAAAAGGUACCCCGGGGAUAACAGGCUGAUCUCCCCCAAGAGCUCACAUCGACGGGGAGGUUUGGCACCUCGAUGUCGGCUCAUCGCAUCCUGGGGCUGGAGCAGGUCCCAAGGGUAUGGCUGUUCGCCAUUUAAAGCGGUACGCGAGCUGGGUUCAGAACGUCGUGAGACAGUUCGGUCUCUAUCUGCCGUGGGCGUAAGAAGAUUGAAGAGAUUUGACCCUAGUACGAGAGGACCGGGUUGAACAAACCACUGGUGUAGCUGUUGUUCUGCCAAGAGCAUCGCAGCGUAGCUAAGUUUGGAAAGGAUAAACGCUGAAAGCAUCUAAGCGUGAAGCCAACUCUAAGAUGAAUCUUCUCUAAGCUCUCUAGAAGACUACUAGUUUGAUAGGCUGGGUGUGUAAUGGAUGAAAGUCCUUUAGCUGACCAGUACUAAUAGAGCGUUUGGCUUAUCUUUAAUAAAGCAU